rnacentral:rRNA from 1 species
GACGUAGGGCGCGAGCGUUGUCCGGAUUUAUUGGGCGUAAAGAGCUCGUAGGCGGCUCGUUGCGUCGGCUGUGAAAACCCGCAGCUCAACUGUGGGCUUGCAGCUGAUACGGGCGGGCUGGAGUUCGGUAGGGGAGACUGGAAUUCCUGGUGUAGCGGUGAAAUGCGCAGAUAUCAGGAGGAACACCGGUGGCGAAGGCGGCAUCCUGGACCAACACUGACGCUGAGGAGCGAAAGCCAGGGGAGCAAACGGG